UCUCUUGGUCUCCAAACCCACUAUUUCGCCGUUCUCCUCAGUAUUCUCUUUCCCGGAGCCACCGUCCUCAGAGAGUAGCACCGUCGAACAGCCCGGAACAACAAUCUCCGUCGACUGUUCUGCUCUCUAUUAUCCUCCCGGUUGGACAAUGUUUCUCAAAGUCCAGUUACCGUGGAAUGUGACGAUUCCAGCUGAAAACAUGGACGCCAAAAGGGCUGAUUCUAAUGAGGGCUAUACUAAUAGAGUUUACCAGACGCAUUUGGACUCUGCUGAUAAAUUUUGAAUUAUCACAACACUUGGCGAUUAGGCUGCUUAAUGAGAGGCUUCAGGAUCCAACGAUGCAGGAAUCACUUGUAUCUAUCUUCCCUAAAGAUAAUCCAAAGAGCACGAGGUUUGCAAUCAACUUCGAACACCCAUUGGUCUUGGAGGCAUCACAGAGAACCUGAGAGAGUAUCUGAAGAACAUGCCACGCCUGAUCAUGCAACAGCAGAAGCAAGUUGCGGAGUCAGAAUCAGGAUCAUCAUCUGGAUCUGACAGUUCUGGUUCCAACUCUGAAUCUGAGUUAGAAUCAUCCUCUUCUUCUAGUUCGGAUGAAAGCGACAGAGAGAAGAGGAAGCGAAGAAGAAGAGCUAGACACCUGUGUUUGGUUUGUUAUCUCCACCAAAAAAUUUCAAAUCUCCGACUAAUAUAUUAAUGAAAAGGACCUUGCAGAUAUACUAGAAGAUAUAACCAAAUCGCUGGCAGCUGUUCAGGCUAUGGAUCUUGCCAAAGAGCGUGAAAAAUUAAGAGAUCUGCAGCUAUCUCUACAGGUUGAAACGAAGCGAGUUAGAAGCUGCUUUCGAAGAGAGCAGGAAGCCAACCAGUAGCAAAGUAUUCCGGGACGCCACAGAGCUGAAAAAGGAUUUCACCAACAAUGCUGAAUCUGCUGUUGCUUCCUUAAGAGGAUUGUCAGCUAAUAAAACCUCUAGUCAAGCGGAUCUCACACUUCUCUUCCGUGCUGCGGCUCAGGAAGCCAAAAUUUCUAGAGCACAAAAUCGAAUUUUCAGGGUGAUUCUCAUAUACUGCAGGUCAUCAAUGAGACCAACACAUGGUUGACCCUUAAACCAGAAGCUCUUCACAUUGGAUG